GAGGGCCCUCUGGGUCCAACCUCCCACCCGUGUUUUAUUGUACCUUGUUGCUUCGGCAGGCCCGCCUCACGGCCGCCGGGGGGCCUCUGCCCCCGGGCCCGCGCCUGCCGAAGACACCCUUGAACGCUGUCUGAAGUUUGCAGUCUGAGCGAAUAGCAAAAUUUGUUAAAACUUUCAACAACGGAUCUCUUGGUUCCGGCAUCGAUGAAGAACGCAGCGAAAUGCGAUAACUAAUGUGAAUUGCAGAAUUCAGUGAAUCAUCGAGUCUUUGAACGCACAUUGCGCCCCCUGGUAUUCCGGGGGGCAUGCCUGUCCGAGCGUCAUUGCUGCCCUCAAGCACGGCUUGUGUGUUGGGCCUCCGUCCCCCACCCGGGGGACGGGCCCGAAAGGCAGCGGCGGCACCGUGUCCGGUCCUCGAGCGUAUGGGGCUUUGUCACCCGCUCUGUAGGCCCGGCCGGCGCCGGCCGACCCUCAUCAUCCUUUUUUUCAGGUUGACCUCGGAUCAGGUAGGGAUACCCGCUGAACUUAAGCAUAUCAAUAAGCGGAGGAAAAGAAACCAACAGGGAUUGCCCCAGUAACGGCGAGUGAAGCGGCAAGAGCUCAAAUUUGAAAGCUGGCUCCUUCGGGGUCCGCAUUGUAAUUUGCAAGGAUGCUUCGGGAGCGGCCCCCAUCUAAGUGCCCUGGAACGGGCUGUCAUAGAGGGUGAGAAUCCCGUAUGGGAUGGGGUGUCCGCGCCCGUGUGAAGCUCCUUCGACGAGUCGAGUUGUUUUGGGAAUGCAGCUCUAAAUGGGUGGUAAAUUUCAUCUAAAGCUAAUAUUGG
rnacentral:rRNA from 1 species